CUAGAUGAGGUCAGUUGGUGCGAGUAUAGGAAUUUUGUUGUUGUUACCCUUGCCGGAGUGAAGAGAGCUGUAAGAAAAAAGGCCACAAGUAAAAGGAGAAGCUGUUUCGUGAACCCGACUUGGUGUCCGUGUUGUUCCUGUCUCCGUUGGAGUGGAGAUGACCUGCGACAAGUGGUGGCCCGUACGGGGAACUCAUCAUGUCGGUCGGCAACGUUAAGGCUUUGAAUACUACAUUGGUGAGAAGAGAAGAGAAGAGAAGAGAAGAGAAGAGAAGAGAAGAGAAGAGAAGAGAAGAGAAGAGAAGAGACACUGCGCACAUUGUCUUAUUCCAGAGUGUGGAGGAGUGCUUUGUUUUCCCAUAGUCAGUAUCUUGUUGGCUGUAGGUUUCUCAUAGCUAGCCUUCACAACAUUGAUACAUGCCCCUUCUUUUCCUAUGGAUUGUGUCUUGAAAGAAUGUUGAGCUUUGUCAAUGACCUUUUCUUCAACCAUUGAGAUGAGCAUAUGAUUUCUGUCUUUAAGUUUAUGUAUGUGCAGUAUUACAUUCAUUGACUUGUGGAGCUGAACCACUUAUACUGCUAUAAUGAAACCAAUAUGGUUAUGGUUAUGAUCUUAUAAAUGCUCUUGAAUUUGGUUUGCAAGCAUUUUAUUGACAGGUUUUGUAUUCAUCUUCAUCUGGUAUAUUAGUCUAUACUUUUAUUUUAUAUCCUUACCCAGUCUUGGUUAAAAAAACAAAACAAAACAAAACAAAACAAAACAAAACAACACAAAGAAGAAAAAGAACCAAAAAGUUUUCCUGGCAGAAAGAAAAUUUAUAACAAAAAUAACACAAAUGUAAGAAAGUGGCUGAAAAACAUGAAAAUUAUUUAAAAAAAACAGUAAAACUAAAAUAUAUUAAAGUUUAAUAGAAAGACAAAGAAAAACACCCACCAAAGAAAAAACACAAAAAGAAAAUUAAAAAGAUUGCCCAUUAAUGAAA
rnacentral:lncRNA from 1 species